UACAUAUUACAUACACCGCAUACACUACACUAGACCUUACCCUAAUUUCCUAAACACAGCCGCCAUCAAAACUAUUGUCAUCGUCUCUACCAAAGAUGCGGUGAUCUCCAGUCUCCCACCGACGGUCCACGGUUGCCGUCGUUUCUCCCAAUCUCUUCCGUCACUUCUCUAUCGCCUCUCUCUCUCUCUCUCUCACACACACACACAUAAAAACCCUAAACGGUGUUGAGGAGUCUUUUUGUUUCUUGACCAGAUGCUGAGCAGUUCUGGAAAUCGCUAUCUCAACCCGUCUUGUUGGCCAAGUCGUCACUCCUGCCGUUUCUACUUCGACCCUAACCAUCACCUGCUUGUGUGUAUCUCUAACGCCUACAAGUUACAUUUUCAUUUGUGGUAAUCGAUCGGAUUUGGCAGUUUAAGGGUUUGAUUUGAAGCUCAACCUGAAAUCGAUCGUCCUUUGUUGUCUGCAUCUCUGCCAUCCCGACGAAGAACAUAGCAAAAGAGACCCACACAUAAGAAAUGUUCAGAGGAAAAUGUUGAGCUACCAACACAGUCAUCAAACGCAUGAAUUUAUCAUAAGCCACAGGAGAUUGUUGUGACCCAUAUUUGUGAAAUUUUUUCUAAUUUAUCCACAUAAGGGCAAAUUCGUCCAGAUCAGCCACUUUUCCAUACUGAACCAAUUCCUCCAUUUAUCCAACAGUCGUAAAAGCUUUCGAUCCCUCUAUAAGUUAGACGUUUUGAAUUUGUUGAUUCUUUAAGACAUAAUGGAUUGAAUCGGGUAAAGAGCUUGUUGUUUUGACUCCUCCAUCUAUAUUUGUCUCUUUUGCAGGUAACUGAAAUAUGAAUGAUUCUUUUUGACGUCCUUACCCCUUGUGCCCUAAUACCAUUCGACACCCACACAUCACAAAUGUUAUAUGGUUCAAACCUCCAGCUACUUCAGUCAUUUCCUCCACCACUCCAUGGAAUUCCUCUGUUAGAUCCACCAAUUCAUUGCCUUCCUCAACAUGGUUUUGGAUAAGGAUGGGAUUUCACUUUAGAACAGCUUCAUGGUGCUCUUUGUUUGCUUCGAAACUCAUCGAAUCUGGAAAUCUUGUAUAUAAUGCACAUGAAGGAGACUGGAGUUAAUUUGGGACCAGCUUCAAAUCAUUUGAAAAGCUUGUAUUCACUAAAACUCAAAAGACCAAUGCUAGGACUGGAGGUGAUUUUUGAUACUUUUAUAUAAAAAUAUAUGAUUGUAUUGUAUUGUUUUACAGGAGAAUGCAGCUUCUUUGAGGACUCAACUUGAUCAACAGAAAGGUGUUGUGGAUAAUCUUGUGAAUAACACUCGGAUUCUAGAAAGCAAGAUACAAGAGGCUAAGUCAAAGAAAGAUACUCUCAAAGCACUUGCACAAUCUGCAAAGUUAUUUUUUUUAUUUUAUUUUUUUUUUAUUUUUUUUAAAAUAACAUUGAGAUUUUGCUAUAACUUGUUGCAGUUAAUGUAUUUUUGUAUAGAACUGCAACAAAAGUAAGUGAAAUGUUGGGGAAUGUGAAUACAAGCAGUGCUCUUUCAACAUUUGAGAAGAUGGAAGAAAAAAGUUCCAUUUCUUUCUAUCUUAAAACAAAACAAAAGACAUGAAUGCCCUUUUAACUUUUUUUUCUUUGAUGUUAGUUAUGACCAUGGAGUCUCAGGCAGAAGCUCUUAAUUAGCUAACUACUGAUGAUCUUGAAGGAAAGUUUGCAAUGCUGGAGAGCUCAUCAGUUGAUGAUGGUCUUGCAAGCUUAAAGAAUGAGCUAUCUGGAAAAGUCUUUUACUUUCAAAAUGUCCAAACUAAUCUACAAUCUCUACUUGUAGAUGGAGUUUAUAUCGAAAAUGCGAAAUCCCUUUAUUGUGGAGUAUAAAGAUUCGUUGGUUGAAAAGCUUUGGCUUCUGGUCUUGCAAUUGCUUCUCCAACAGAACAAAGAACUCAAAAUUUCACAGUUGAGGUUUUGGGACGAUUUGAUCAUUGAGUUGGAAUCGGGAAGACUGCUACACUGCUUCAUUGCGUUUCUUACACGGAUUCAGGUUCUCUUUACUUCUUUUAUAUUUUGUAACUUCAAAUGUGUAUAAUAUUUUAUUUCUUACUUCUAUUUGAAGUGAUAAACUUCUUUUGUUUCAACUGUUGAUAUUAUUCUGUCUUCUAUCUAAAUUGAUCACUCUUCUUA